CGGUAAUUCCAGCUCCAAUAGCGUAUACUAAAGUUGUUGCAGUUAAAAAGCUCGUAGUUGGAUUUCUGUGUGAGAGGGACGGGAAGGCGCAAGCGUUUUUUCUGACCUUUUGCACAUCCUGUCGCAAACCACGGUGCUCUUUACUGUAGUGUCGUUGGGGAUCGACUCGUUUACUUUGAGAAAAAUAGAGUGUUCAAAGCAGGGUAUGCCUCUGAAUAAGUUAGCAUGGAAUAAUGAUAAAGGACUUCGGUUCAUUUUGUUGGUGUUUGGGACUGAAGUAAUGAUUGAUAGGGACAGUUGGGGGCAUCAGUAUUCAAAAGCGAGAGGUGAAAUUCUUAGACCUUUUGAAGACUAACCGCUGCGAAAGUGUUUGCCAAGGAUGUUCCCUUUGAUCAAGAACUAAAGUUUGGGGAUCGAAGACGAUCAGAUACCGUCGUAGUCUGAACUAUAAACUAUACCAGCUAGGGAUCGGCCGGCGUAAUAUUUAAGGACUCGGUCGGCACCUUAUGAGAAAUUAAAGCAUUUGGGUUCCGGGGGGAGUAUGGUCGCAAGGCUGAAACUUAAAGGAAUUGACGGAAGGGCACCACCAGGUGUGGAGCCUGUGGCUUAAUUUGACUCAACACGGGAAAACUUACCAGGUCCAGACAUAGUAAGGAUUGACAGAUUGAGAGCUCUUUCUUGAUUCUAUGGAUGGUGGUGCAUGGCCGUUCUUAGUUGGUGGAGUGAUUUGUCUGGUUAAUUCCGUUAACGAACGAGACCCCAGCCUGCUAAAUAGCUGAAGUAAGGUUUUCCUUGCUAUGAGCUUCUUAGAGGGACCAUAGACUCGUCUACAGACUAGGGAAGUUUGGGGCAAUAACAGGUCUGUGAUGCCCUUAGAUGUUCUGGGCCGCACACGGGCUACACUGACGCCUGCAACGAGCAUAUCAGCUGGUCCGAAAGGAUCUUGGCUAAUCUUUUGAACUUGCGUCGUGCUAGGGAUUGACUAUUGCAAUUGUUAGUCAUGCAACGAGGAAUACCUUGUAAACGCGAGUCAUCAACUCGCAUUGAAUACGUCCCUGCCCUUUGUACACACCGCCC
rnacentral:rRNA from 1 species